rnacentral:misc_RNA from 1 species
CUGCAGCAUUUCCCUUCCUCCCUCCCUCCCUCUCCUUUCAUUGAUUUUUUCAAGCACCAUCUAACGGUCGGAUGACUAAAGCUUUUCAAGUGCUGUGGCCAUAGACUUGUCAGCCCUAGCUUCCGGUCCGUUAUUAUUCUCUUUGUCAAGGUUGCGUGCACAUUCGAAAGUGCACCACAAGAACGUUUGUUACAUCCUCACACUUUUUUUACAACUUUCUUUAUUCUCGGGGAGGGAUUUCUCGUAUAUUCAAAUAAUUUGGCUGUGUGUAGUCUCGGCGGCAGACCCAUAUGCCCUCUAUCAAACAGGUAAUUCAACUCGGAAUUCGAACUCUUGCGGUCGUCUGCAUUGCGGUUCCGAAAUCCCACACGUUGAAGGUUGGGAGAUUGAGACGAAAAUAUACAAAGUUUUCACGAGGAAGUUGUGGUUUCUGUCUUCGGUAUUCCCUAAAUACCGCAGUUGACUAGCCGAAAAGACUCGAGUACUUGCUGCUAAAUGCUCGCUAACAUCCCUGAUCAGGGAUUCGAGCGAGCAGCCCGUGAGCGUAACACGUGCUCAAUGAACGAGUCAUUGAUCCGCAGAGAAGACUGAACCAAAGUAAAAGCAGCAAGCAUGAUUUCAGCAAGGAAGUUAUUAUCCAACAGGUUGAUGGUUACCUUUAAUAUCCCAUCACAACAUCUGGGGACGAAAUCAGAGGCUACAACCACUAGUACCUCUAAAAAGAAGUUCAAUGAUAGUGCUCUGAAAAAAUGGGCAAUAGUGUCACCCCUCGUUGGAGCCAAACAGCUUGCAUCAUCAUUUGUAACUGGAAUUGAAGUUACACCUACAGCCAUUACAUGGGCUGUAUUAGACACUCAGUUAAAUGAGGUUGUUGAUUGUGGAUCUUCACCACUGUUUAGUGAAGUUGUUCGUGUCAAUUCAUCUUCUAUACUUGACAUGGCUCAUCAGGUGAAAGAUUUGAUACCGAAAAGUGAUUUGUUUGUCCUGGAAGAUAAGAUGUGGACUAGAGGAGGGAUCAAAUCUAACAUGGAUAUGGGGACAAAUCUCUUGACAUUUCAAGCAAUGUUGUAUGCACUGCUCAAUGAAAACUACAUACCUGAAGAGUCUCUACCUAAAGUCUUUUACAUCCAGACCAAGGCCAUAUUAAAACUUUUUAAUCUGAAAGUAGGAAAUGAAAGAGUAUCUAGUCAAAACAUUGUACAUAGGAUGAUAAGAAGGUCUGAUGUUGGAUACAUGUUGGACAACAGUUGGGAAAAUAUGGGCAGUUUAGAAGUAACCAAAGACGAUUAUGGUAGGAUCGGUUGGUCUGAUCCAGAAAUGGUCAAAAAGAUUUGGACUCGUGACGAGCUUUGGAGAGAGAAUAUUUCAAAUGCCAUUCUAACCGCGCAUGCCUUCACAGAUCUCUGUCUUAAAGAAGACGGUGAAGCUCUGCGUUUAUUGUGGAAGCGCAAUUAAACUGAUAACUCGAAUUGUUGCAAAUAUAGUUGUUGCCAUCUGUGGAGUUGAGUUGAUAGCUGUGUAGACUCGCGAGCGAUGAUUUACUUGGCUGAGAAUCAACAAGGGAUCGAUUUUCCAUUAAUUUGAAUUAUUAAUCGAGGGGUUAUACGAGUUCGUAAAAUUGGCCGCAGUCAUGUUUACGUGAACGAUGACGUCAGAGCAAGUAUACUGUAUCUCGUGAAUCGUUACUCAAUAGACUCAUCCAAACACUUGAGAGAGGUGGCGCCUCAAUCAAUAAUACUCAAUGGUUAUAAACAGAAGAAGUCUGUCAUUUAACUGCUGCUGCUGCUGGUUGUAAAAAGUUUGUUGCCCUCACAGUUGAAGGCACCAUCUGCUUCCUAUUAAUCAGCUAUGGCUUAUAGACGACGCCGAUGUUAUUAAAAACGACUCCCGCUUGUUCACUAAGCAACGUGAGGGGAGGGUUAUUCAGUAUUCCCUCACGACUCGUCAAGUUGGAUAAGCGAAUUUAUCCAGUUUCAUCAGCCAAUGAUUCAGGAUCAAUUUCCCCGAGAUCGUUGCGGUCGAGCAGUAUAUAGUGGACGACCCGGUAGUGGUCUAUUGACGUCACCAAGCAUAUUGCACUAUACAAGCGUGUUCAGGUCGUAUCCGGCUGAAAUUAACAAGAUUUUUGGUCAGGAGUUCUCUCCUCUCUAUGGCGAACGUGGGGGCGUUCUAAUGUUCUAUACACGUCCAACCUUCAGUUACCUUCGGAGCGUCGGCCAGAGCAGAAGCUUUUUCUACACACUAGUGUGUUUCGUAUGGAAUCGUCGUGAGCACGCGUUGUCCCACAAAUAACUUUCCUGCUGUACAGCUUUCUAUUUUGUUCCGACAUCCAGUGUUCGUUCAUUAGCCAACUCGUCGCCAGGAGAUGAUCACAAUCGGCGAUAUGGUCCAUCCAUCGGCCCAACGAAGUGAAACGGUUCAACAAAGAGAACAAGAAGAUUUUGUUUUCACUCCGCAACACAGACCUAGUCCACCUUCUCCGACGAACGGCCGUUCACACUAUCAGCGAGUUCAGUUCCGAAGAAUGUACCGUUACGGAUUGUCACUGCUGCUGGUCGGGGCCCUUUGCAACUGGAUCGGUUUCGCCCAACAUUAUUUCGCUCCAGUUCGGUAUUUAGGCGUCGGAUGCGUCGUUGCUGGUGCACUUUGCAUCUGCAUUGCGCUUUGUCGGUGGCUAACGAUUCGUGAUAGAUGCAGCGAUCCAUCCACCAAUCAGGAGGUCUCCUGUGGUGCAGAACCCAAUAUUCAUGUCAUAACCGUCUCGGUUCAGAAUGGCGAUUCAUUCCAGCAACCAGCCAGCAUCCUCACCAAACCGCCUGAUUACGAGACGGCCGUCGGGUGUAAACCUCCGUCUUACGAAGAAGCAGUCAGAAUCUCUCCAGCUGUAUUUUUGCAUCAAAAUUCUUAUCCAGUAUCGGUUACUUUACCCGAUUCGGCAGCGCCUGUCAGCACUCCUGCUCCUCCCAGUCGACCGAUCGAUGGGCAGCACUUCACAAACUGAUGGUGGAUGUAAUAGUAUAGACUGAGUACAUGUGCACAAACCGGGCUCUCCUCUGCUGCAGAGGGUAUGCUCCGCACAAAAACAAUAUCUUUCAUGAACCGGCUUGAUUCAACUCCGGCUCGUUUUUCCUCCGAACUUCAAUCCGUAAAAUGAACCCGUAUGGUAAUUCUACGGCCAGAAGUCUUGAGAGAAGUUUAUAAUGUUCAUUAUACCGUGUCGGAUAACGGUGAAAUUGAUUGAACAAUGACCAAUUGAAACAUGUUGCAAUUGGUUUUAUUGUUCUUUUUUACGUAAUUGUGAAAUUGUGUCUUACUGAAAGCAAUUGUAAAUAACGCUGCAUUUUAAAAAUUAGAUUUGUGUUUGAAAAAUGCAAAGGGACCAUGUGAAAAGUUUUCUCGUAACUAAAGAUCUUCAAUGCGAUUUCUUCUUUUUACUCUUUACCAGAAUUGUUAUAACUAUCGUAGAUUGAUGGACGUAAACUUUUGAGUCUCUAGUCAAGGUUCAAAUGUCGUCAAUGAUUGCGAAUUAUGUUUCAAAUGCCAUGUCUGCUCGUUGACACUCCGUCCUUGCACAUUGUAGUAUCUCCUUUAAUGCGCGAUACAUCAAAUAAAAUAUGUUUUUUGUUGUGUUGAAA